AUUAGCUUGGCAGAUUAAUUGUGUCAAAUUUAGAAUUUGAUGAGGACUCUGGGUAGUCAGUUAAUA
rnacentral:tRNA from 1 species